AUAGACUCUCGCCAUGUUACUCAAGCUAGUCUCGAUUUCCUGGCCUCAAGUGAUCCUCCUGCCUCUGCCUCCCCAAAUGCUGGGAUUACAGGAGUCUGGCCACAGAUAAGGGACCAAAAUGACUGACUCAAAAUAUUUCACCACAACCAAGAAAGUGAGAUUGACACACGCCUGCCAACCAGAUGAAACGAGUCUGUUACUGGAUCAGCUGAGCCAGGACCUGAAGCCUCCCCCUCAUCAGGCAUUUCAAGUAUUGGACUAGCUGGGUUUUUUUCUUCUUUUGAGAUCGAGUUUUGCU